UCCACAGUAAUAAAGAAUCGAGAAACAGAUAUUUUUUCAAUUUCUUCCCAUUACAUUUUAUGUCCACAUUUAGAUGUAUCUGGGAAGAUCUCUAAACUGACACCACUGUGAGAGGCCCCUGGGAUUCACAAAUAUCAUUUCCAUGACACUCAGAAAACGGGGGAAAAGAGGAAAAUGUGAGCGGUGAUAAAUUGGAGCUAAUCUCUUUCUGCCACAACCUGAAAUGAUACUUGGCCAGAUGUACACACCUGAAUUCAGGAUUUACCCAGAGAAGCCUGCCCAGAACUUUGAGCACAGUAGGUCCUCAAUAAACAUUUCCUAGGGGGCUAACUGAAAGGAAAACAAUCAAAACAAAACAAUAAAAUUAAGGUGUUGGAAGAA
ensembl:lncRNA novel transcript, antisense to C10orf11